rnacentral:rRNA from 1 species
UAGUGACGAAAAAUAAGAAUACGAGACUCUUUUGAGGCCCCGUAACUGGAAAGAGCACAAUCUAAAUCUUUUAGGGAGCAUCUAUUGGAGGUCAAGCUUGGAGUCAGCAGAGGCGCCAAUUCCAGCUCCAAUAGCGUAUAUUAAAGUUGCUGCAGUUAAAAAGCUCGUAGUUGGAUCUCGCGGUACUUGAUCUAGCUAGUAUAGAACAUGCUAAAACUGGUUUGCCCCGCCAACGUUAGGUAAUCUUACUCCGGGGCACCUCAUUGGGUGCUCAGGAGGGGCCUAGUAGCUACUGCGAAAAAAUUAGAUUUUUCAAAGCAUGCUCAUAUGUUCGGAUAG